UACGGAGGGUGCAAGCGUUGUCCGGAUUUAUUGGGUUUAAAGGGUGCGUAGGCGGUCUUUUAAGUCAGCGGUGAAAUCCUCCAGCUUAACUGGAGAACUGCCAUUGAUACUGGAAGACUUGAGUACAGACGAGGUAGGCGGAAUUGACAGUGUAGCGGUGAAAUGCAUAGAUAUUGUCAAGAACACCUAUUGCGAAGGCAGCUAACUAAGCUUUAACUGACGCUGAGGCACGAAAGUGUGGGGAUCAAACAGG
rnacentral:rRNA from 1 species